CACGGGGGGAGCAAGCGUUGUUCGGAAUCACUGGGCGUAAAGGGAGUCUAGGCGGUCAGGUAAGUGGGAUGUGAAAUGCCCCGGCUCACCCGGGGACCGGCAUCCCAAACUGCCUGGCUUGAGUAUGGGAGAGGGUGUGGGAAUUCCUGGUGUAGCGGUGAAAUGCGUAGAUAUCAGGAGGAACACCGGUGGCGAAGGCGCACACCUGGCCCAAUACUGACGCUGAAGCUCGAAAGCUAGGGGAG
rnacentral:rRNA from 1 species